AUCACAUGUGCAAGCCCAUGAUGAGAUCGGUACCAGAGAGAUCUUCUGAGUAGUCUAAGAGGCCUAGCGCCUAAGCCUGUGAGCAAUGUACAGGAUUGACCAAGAAAGAACAUACCAAAGCGUACAAAAAAGUGACAAGAGAGACUUGUCACAACGUCAUUAACCCAUGCAGCCUCAGGUGUACGUAAACAAUGAACUUUUUACAGAAAUUGUCGAUUGAUUCCACCUCUACACUAUAAACGACUGUGAAAAAGAAAAAGAAAAUUUCUCGAGGGACAGGCAUGAGCGGGAAGAUCAAGGGGCUGUCAACAAAGUGAAAUCUUCAACUUAAAAUCAAGCAUUCGUACGACAUUGCUUCGAUAGGUAUACUAUGUGGUUCUGCAUGCAUGCAUGGAGACAUACUACGAGUAUAACUCUGCAUCAGCCAUGUGAUCCAUUACCAACAAUUGUUAUACCAUAUAAAUACCGUAUAGAGGGUAAUUUUCGUGGGGCAAAAUAUUUGUGGUUUUUGUGGUUGAAGGUGGUAUGACCACGAAUAUUUUACCCACGAAUGAAGCAACCUUGCCUACCUUUACCUGCAGUGCAAGCAGCAACCACAAAAAUAAUAUCCACAAAAUGACUAAAACUGCUCAACCACGAAUAUUUUGUCCCCCGAAAAUUUUCUGCUCACGAAUGCAUGUAAGUGAUAUUCAUUUAUCUCAACACAACUGUUGCAAUAAUGUACACAUAAUGAUGUCGAUGAUGCUAGACUAUAAGUAUGAAAGAUCGAGGUUUCUCAACAUUUGUUUAUCCUAAAUCUAUCAUACGACAACAACUGUCCUUGAAUCAGACACUGCACAAUCCAGGUAUGACUCAGAAUACACAAUGUGUCCAAGCUUGAUUGGUGCUGUAGAGAGGGUGAGAUUUGGUCCGGGUGCUCCGCUACUACCACAACACUGCCCGAAUCUGUACAGAGCAGAGGAGGUGCCAGUGGGUGAUGGUGAAACUCAUACCAAGCAUCAUAAUUUAUAGCUGUACUAGAAUCAGAAUUUGACAAUAAUAAUUAUCAGUUAUGAAACAGCAAAGAUAUGUCUCAAUGAAAGA